AUUGAACGCUGGCGGCAGGCCUAACACAUGCAAGUCGAGCGGAUGAAGGGAGCUUGCUCCUGGAUUCAGCGGCGGACGGGUGAGUAAUGCCUAGGAAUCUGCCUGGCAGUGGGGGAUAACGUCCGGAAACGGGCGCUAAUACCGCAUACGUCCUGAGGGAGAAAGUGGGGGAUCUUCGGACCUCACGCUAUCAGAUGAGCCUAGGUCGGAUUAGCUAGUUGGUGGGGUAAAGGCCUACCAAGGCGACGAUCCGUAACUGGUCUGAGAGGAUGAUCAGUCACACUGGAACUGAGACGCGGUCCAGACUACUACGGGACGCAGCAGUGGGGAAUGUUAGACAGUGGGCGAAAGCAUGAUCCAACCAUGCCGCGUGUGUGAAAGAAGUCUUCGGAUUGUAAAGCACUUUAAGUUGGGAGAGAGGGCAGUAAGUUGAUACCUUGCUGUUUUGACGUUACCAACAGAAUAAGCACCGGCUAACUUCGUG
rnacentral:rRNA from 1 species